rnacentral:tRNA from 1 species
CAGAAAAUAAUUUAAAUAAAAUAGUAAUUUUGGAUAUUACAAAUGGAAUAAUUAUUCCUUUUCUGA